GUCAAUGCAUAUAAGUUCAACCUUUAGAGCGUUGCUAAUAUAGUUUUCGACAAUCAAGUAAAAGAUUUAGACGUCUUGCUACUGUUGGCGCGGAUAGGGCAAAGAAGUUUUUCCAGUUUCAAAGCGAGGAACGCGCUACCAUCCCUACAGGCAUGAACUCUACAACGAGGGCAGAUGCUCCUCCUCCCCCGUUACAGACUCCAGCAACACCAAAUUUCGCAUUCUGGUAACUCUUUUAGGGGUAUUGAAGCAAAAGAAUGCGAAAUUUGGU
rnacentral:misc_RNA from 1 species